rnacentral:tRNA from 4 species
GGCUUAGCUCAACUGGUAGAGCAACUGACUUGUAAUCAGUAGGUUGAGGGUUCAAGUCCUUUAGCCGG